GUUCUCUCUCAACUUUUUUUUUUUAAAUUUCUUGCAUUUUUCUCGCUUUUCCUUGCCUUUUCUCGUCUCGCCUAGGCGUAUAGACAGCACGUGGUCGAAGUUGCCUCGCCUAGAGGCUUUCCAGGUGAUGUGCCUGGAUUUCACCUCGCCUGGGCGCCUAGGUGAGCACUUGGUAACAACAUUGCAAUUCUCUUUGGUUUUAUUCCUAAUAUUUUAGCACUUUUCAGCUUCUCUCAUAUCUUCUUCAAGCUAAAAUGGAUCGGGUCUAACUCUAUCCCAAAAGCUAGCUUAAGAGGAGAAAGUUUGCUCAAGUAUUAUAUAUAACUCAAGUACUUCAUCCAAAAUCAAUGUGGGCCAACAACUCCAAGGUAAUGUUAGGCAUUUUUUUUAAGCUGUCAACCACCCACCAAAAGUACAGUACUCAUUGGAGAUUUAAGCAAUAAUUACUCCUAAAAUGCACGAUUAAUUGAUUUCAAAUCAAACACUAUUGCCCACAAGAAACAUUAUAGAACAUGUGACCAUAGUAGAUAUGUAGUUAAUAUUUCAAAGGGGUUAGGAAUUCCUGCUUAUCUAUGGACCAAGUUAUGUGAGCUUUACCACAUCAAUUUGUACAAUAAAAAAAACUGCUAACAAGGGAACAUGGAUUACCUUUUUGAUAUAAAGAGAGGAAAGAUUUUCAUAUAAUCUACCUUUUUUUUUAUUUGGAAACACAAAAGUUGGCAUUCUUGAGAUGCAUUAUCUCAUAUAAACAUGGUAAAACUCAUAUAAAA
rnacentral:misc_RNA from 1 species